UACGUAGGGCGCAAGCGUUUAUCCGGAAUUAUUGGGCGUAAAGAGCUCGUAGGCGGUUUGUCGCGUCUGCCGUGAAAGUCCGGGGCUCAACUCCGGAUCUGCGGUGGGUACGGGCAGACUAGAGUGAUGUAGGGGAGACUGGAAUUCCUGGUGUAGCGGUGAAAUGCGCAGAUAUCAGGAGGAACACCGAUGGCGAAGGCAGGUCUCUGGGCCACUACUGACGCUGAGAAGCGAAAGCAUGGGGAGCGAACAGG
rnacentral:rRNA from 1 species